GUCAUGGACGAAAGCCAGGGAGCGAAAGGGAUUAGAUACCCCUGUAGUCCUGGCCGUAAACGAUGAACACUAGGUGUCGGGGGAAUCGACCCCCUCGGUGUCGUAGCCAACGCGUUAAGUGUUCCGCCUGGGGAGUACGCACGCAAGUGUGAAACUCAAAGGAAUUGACGGGGGCCCGCACAAGCGGUGGAGUAUGUGGUUUAAUUCGAUGCAACGCGAAGAACCUUACCAGGGUUUGACAUCCUGCGAAUCCCUUGGAAACUUGGGAGUGCCUUCGGGAGCGCAGUGACAGGUGGUGCAUGGCUGUCGUCAGCUCGUGUCGUGAGAUGUUGGGUUAAGUCCCGCAACGAGCGCAACCCACGUCUUUAGUUGCCAGCAUUCAGUUGGGCACUCUAGAGAGACCGCCGGUGAUAAACCGGAGGAAGGUGUGGAUGACGUCAAGUCAUCAUGCCCCUUACAUCCUGGGCUACACACGUACUACAAUGCUACGGACAAAGGGCAGCAAACUCGCGAGAGCUAGCAAAUCCCAUGAACCGUGGCUCAGUUCAGAUCGUAGGCUGCAACUCGCCUACGUGAAGGAGGAAUCGCUAGUAAUCGCAGGUCAGCAUACUGCGGUGAAUACGUUCCCGGGCCUUGUACACACCGCCCGUCACACCAUGGAAGUUGGCCACGCCCGAAGUCGUUACUCCAACCCUUGUGGAGGAGGAUGCCGAAGGUGGGGCUGAUGACUGGGGUGAAGUCGUAACAAGGUAACC
rnacentral:rRNA from 1 species